rnacentral:lncRNA from 1 species
AGGAGUCUUUUUUUCGUUUUUUAUUCAAAAUUUUGCAGAUAAAUGCAUGAUGCAUGCAUGCAUGGCUUAAAGAUUAAGGAGAUGCUCCCCUAAAAAGAAAAGAUAUAAAAGAAUCGCAACUAGGGUCUAAUUCGUAGACCCAAUUUAUCUGACCACCUCCAACGCAUACAUGUUUCAAGAUUCUGAUAAACAUAUUUAUCCAUGUAAUGCGUCACGAGAGAAAGGAGGAAAGGAUUUGCCUUUGCCCUGCCUUUGUCUUUCGGCUUUUUUAUGCCUUUUCGUGGUCACCAAGAGCCCCAAAGUUAACACGGAAUUGCGGCCAUUGCCCCCACCCCAUAUAAAUUAACCGAAAGGAACAUAACGUCAUGUCUGCUGUACCUUAUAAUACACUAGAAAGGAAGCUAUAUAUAUUUAUAUAUAGGAAGUUCUUUCCUAAUCUUUAAGCGUCGUUAACUUGGUUAAUUGGUGAAUGCUGUAAUGGUAAUCAAAUUUUGUCAAACGUAAUUAAAAAUUACGUACAUCGAAAUAGAUAAAAUUUCUAAUUUUAUCUGAAAACAUAUGUAUUCUUCAAACAAACUUUAAAAGUGCACUUUUCUAAAUAGAAUAAGAGGCUCUGAUCUGAUGUAUUCAAAAUCUAACUGCCAAUUUGCUUUCCUCCAAAGUUGAACAUAGAGGCUAAACUCUUUAUUCUUUAUGGCUCAUUGGAAUACUUAUUAUAAAGAUAAGGUUGGGAUUGGGUUUGGGACGAUCCCAAGCCUGCAGGCUUGUUUACGUACGCCGUCUUGUCUCCUGGAAAGGGUUACACCCGCAUUUUGCUUCAUUGGUCGCCACGAGGGCCAACUCUUUUGAUAAUUGACAUCGACCCACUUCUUGUUUCUAUCCAUUUUGGCCUCAUCAUUCAUCACUACAACCAAAAAAAGUGUUCUAGUUGUUUGGUUGCUUCCCCAUCAGCAACAAAAGUUAGUCAAACUUAGCAUUUCCUCUUUCCUUAUUUUCUAUCAACUUGUACCAAUUGAUUUUUCCGCUACUGUUUUUGCGACAUUUUAUUCUUGAACAUGCAUGCAUGGCCUCCUUUUCUUUUCUUUCUUUCUUUUUUCUUUUUGU